UCCGAAUUCGUCUAGUGGCCAAGAUUCCGCCCUCUCACGGCGGCGACCGGGGUUCAAUUCCCCGAUUCGGAG